AAGUCGUAACAAGGUCUCCGUUGGUGAACCAGCGGAGGGAUCAUUACAGAGUUACCUAACUCCAAACCCAUGUGAACUUACCUAUGUUGCCUCGGCGGGGAAAGCCUACCCGGUACCUACCCUGUAGCUACCCGGGAGCGAGCUACCCUGUAGCCCGCUGCAGGCCUACCCGCCGGUGGACGUUGAAACUCUUGUUUUUUAGUGAUUAUCUGAGUGUUUAUACUUAAUAAGUUAAAACUUUCAACAACGGAUCUCUUGGUUCUG
rnacentral:misc_RNA from 1 species